UACGUAGGGUGCAAGCGUUGUCCGGAAUUAUUGGGCGUAAAGAGCUCGUAGGCGGUCUGUCGCGUCGGCUGUGAAAUCCCGAGGCUCAACCUGGGAACUGCGUCCGAUACUGGAUGGCUUGAAUUCGGGAGAGGGAUGCAGAAUUCCAGGUGUAGCGGUGAAAUGCGUAGAUAUCUGGAGGAAUACCGGUGGCGAAGGCGGCAUCCUGGACCGACAUUGACGCUGAUGAGCGAAAGCUAGGGGAGCAAACGGG
rnacentral:rRNA from 1 species